AAAGGAAUAGACGGGGACCCGCACAAGCGGUGGAGCAUGUGGUUUAAUUCGAUGCAACGCGAAGAACCUUACCUGGCCUUGACAUCUGUCGAAUCCCGCAGAGAUGCGGGAGUGCCUUCGGGAACGACAAGACAGGUGCUGCAUGGCUGUCGUCAGCUCGUGUCGUGAGAUGUUGGGUUAAGUCCCGCAACGAGCGCAACCCUUGUCCUUAGUUGCCAUCAUUCAGUUGGGAACUCUAAGGAGACCGCCGGUGACAAACCGGAGGAAGGUGGGGAUGACGUCAAGUCAUCAUGGCCUUUAUGGCCAGGGCUACACACGUGCUACAAUGGCAGGUACAGAGGGAAGCCAACGCGCGAGCGGGAGCCAAUCCCAGAAAGCCUGUCGUAGUCCGGAUCGGAGUCUGCAACUCGACUCCGUGAAGUCGGAAUCGCUAGUAAUCGCAGAUCAGCAUUGCUGCGGUGAAUACGUUCCCGGGUCUUGUACACACCGCCCGU
rnacentral:rRNA from 1 species